UGCUCUUCAGAUCUAAAAGUUGAAUUUAUUUAGGGAAAGGGGAUGGGGGAUGGGAUAUCCAAAGGAAAGGGCUGCACAGCACAGAGCCAAGGGGACAUUGGGUUGAUGAUGGCAGCCAAAAUAUAUUGCAAC